AGCAGUCGCCGCGGUAAUACGAAGGGGGCUAGCGUUGUUCGGAAUUACUGGGCGUAAAGCGCACGUAGGCGGAUAUUUAAGUCAGGGGUGAAAUCCCGCAGCUCAACUGCGGAACUGCCUUUGAUACUGGGUAUCUUGAGUAUGGAAGAGGUUGGUGGAAUUGCGAGUGUAGAGGUGAAAUUCGUAGAUAUUCGCAGGAACACCAGUGGCGAAGGCGGCUAACUGGUCCAUAACUGACGCUGAGGUGCGAAAGCGUGGGGAGCAAACACGAUUAGAUACCCCUGUAGUCCCUGUCUCUUAUAC
rnacentral:rRNA from 1 species